rnacentral:rRNA from 1 species
CCCUUAGAUGUCCUGGGCCGCACGCGCGCUACACUGAACGGAUCAGCGCGUCUUCCCUUCCCGAGAGGGACGGGUAACCUGCUGAACCCCGUUCGUGGUAGGGAUCGGGGCUUGCAAUUAUUCCCCGUGAACCAGGAAUGCCCAGUAAGUGCAAGUCAUAAGCUUGCGUUGAUUACGUCCCUGCCCUUUGUACACACCGCCCGUCGCUACUACCGAUUGAACGUUUUAGUGAGGUACUCGGACUGAGCCUCAGAAGAUUCACGUCUUUUGUGCUGCUCGGGAAGAUUCCCAAACUUGAGCGUUUAGAGGAAGUAAAAGUCGUAACA